rnacentral:rRNA from 1 species
CAUGAGUGGCGGACGGGUGAGUAACGCGUGGGCAACCUGGCCUGUACAGGGGGAUAACACUUAGAAAUAGGUGCUAAUACCGCAUAACGGGAGAAGCCGCAUGGCUUUUUCCUGAAAACUCCGGUGGUACAGGAUGGGCCCGCGUCUGAUUAGCCAGUUGGCAGGGUAACGGCCCACCAAGGCGACGAUCAGUAGCCGGCCUGAGAGGGUGAACGGCCACAUUGGGACUGAGACACGGCCCAAACUCCUACGGGAGGCAGCAG